CUUACAGGUAUCAUCUUAGAUAAACAGUUUAUCUCUGAUAACACAAAUGGUGUGAAUUUUUCCAUUAUAUUUUCCAUCAUCUCUGUUAAGUCACAGCAACAAGAUUCAUCUUCCAUCUCUCACUCAGAUUUCCUUUCUUUUCAUCCUCAGUGGUCUUGAAUCAGCAUACAAAUUUCCUGCAUCUAAAGUGUUCCAAUGGAAGUCAGACAGUUCAUCCAUUCAGAGUUAUGCCACUCUGGCAUAAUUUUCUAGUGUCAAAGUCCUUUACCAGAGGCACAUUAAGUCUGAAGGUUUACACAAGUUUAUGGCAUUUAUUUAUGAAGUUACCCAUUAUCAGGCACAGAAAAAAUAAUUCUGUGGUUAGAAUUGGUUAUGACAAAAACAGAUUGGUGAGAUAGUCAGAGCACAGAACUCAAAAUUGGUAGGCUUAAACUGUACUUGAGAUUUUUAGUAUCGCAGAGAAUGUAUUUGUCCAUGUUCUUGCAAAAUUUUGAGGGAGUCAAUAACUCUGAUCUUACCAGAAACAUAAAGUAGGUUUAGCUGCUUAAAGGAAUCUGUCGACUAGAUUAGGUUAAACUAGGUCUACUAGAUAGGUUAGGUUCUAUAAAGAGGAGGAGGAAGAGAAAGAAAGGGAGAAAGUUCUUCAGGUGCUGGAGCAGAUAGCUACAUUGAAACACAUGGAGAAUCUCCUAAAGCCUCAGAUGUGUAUUUCUUGAUGGAUUCUUGUCUAUGGAGAAUCUACACUGGAGCAGAUAGUUUUUCUGAGAGACAUUAGCUUGUGGGAGGACUUAUACUGAAGCAUGAAAAAGUGUGAGGAAGAAUCUCUUCAGAGAGAAACUGUACCCCACCUCUCAUCCUGUCUGGGCAUGAGAAAGGAGAGAGGCAAAGUUUUGUUUCAAACUGCAUUGAUUUCUCACUACCCAAAUCUAUUUUAAUUGGAAAAUAAUUAAGUUAUUUUUUCCUCAAUCUUAAAUGUUUUUUUCUUGCAAUAAUGAUUGACAAGCAACCUCCCUGUCUUAUCAUGUCAUCUUAUCAUUUUCUUUUCUCAUCAUGUUUUCUCCCACUAUCCUGCUGAGGAGUGAGAAUGAGUGAGCAGCUGGGUGAGCAUUUGGCUGUUAGACAAAGCAAACCUACUAAAGCUUCUUGUAUAAUGCUAUGUCUGGGAUUAGUUAUGGUAUAUUUACCUGUGAUGAGUGCUGUACUACUAUAAAAAAACUACUUUCAAAGAUGCAGGUUUUUGGGGGGCAUGUCUGCACAGGUCUGUCAUAAGCAUAACAUAAGCUUUGGUUUUCUCAUGGAUAUCUUUGAGUUGCAGGGGUUUGUUCUCCUUAAUAAAAUCCUGUGAGGUCUACUGUAUAUCUGAGCUGAGUUAUUAGUUUUCAUUGUAUGAGCAUAGAUAGUAAUAAAAGAUGUCAGAAACUGACAUGAUGUUUGGGAAUUUAAUGGGGUAUAUUUUCUUCUUGAUAGGCACAUAUAUUUUCUAUUAAUGCUAAUAGGAAUUAUAUAUAUGCAUAAGGAGAACAUACCACUUUGCAUGUAAAUUUCACAUUUUAUUUUGCAGAGGAUAUGUAACCCUAUUAUCACCAGGAUCUUAGUGCUGGCACGAAAAUUUGUCCCAGCUCAGUUGGUUAUAAUCAAACAUUAAAAUGAUCUAGCUGAGCUUAAUUGUAUUUUACCUUCCCACCACUUUUGUAAUGAAAAUACUUUAAUCCAAAGCAUUUUCUGUAUCAUGUGGAUGAAUAAAUAGCCUUUUUGUUGAAGUUAAGUUGUUUUUAAACUCAAGCUAAUAAACUACUUAUUUCUAUUUCCAUCAGAGUUACAAGUACAGUUAAAAUGCUUACACAACUUGGAUUUUAAACACCUAAUUUCAGCAAGAGUGUAUGAUAAAAUACUAUAUCCCUGACUUUUGAAGACAUUUCUAAAGACGGUGCAAAAUACCAGCUUAUAUGAAUUUAUUCUAGAAGAAGCAUCCUUUGAGGGUUUUUGUUGUUGCUAGUGGUGGGUUGUUUGUUUGAUUGGUUGGUUGGUUGGUUUUUAUUUGCCAUAAGCUUACUAAUUUAUUGCAUGUACUGAACAAGAUAUGAAGGUCUAUGGCUGAAAAUGCUAAAUAGCACAAAGUUUUGUGCAAAGAAUGACCACGGCUCAUAAACUGUAUUGGAAUUAUUGAUCUCUUAUUUCAUCUCCCUUCAUGAUAUUCUUCUUAUUUAUAUGAAACCUCUUCCUUUUUCUUCACUAAUCUCACUGAUUUUUUUGUUUUCUUCAAAUCUGUCUUACACUGAUUCUACUUCUGAGUGUUGGGUCAGACCAUCAGUAAUACAUGUGGCUGAGAUUAUUCCAGCAGACCCGCUGUUUUCAUCACAUAUUCAGUGUAAAAUUACAAUUCUUUCUCAGUCAGGUCUGAGCUCCUUCAGUCUUUUGAAAGUGCUUGUAUACCUAAGAGUCUUGAUGCACACAAUAGUACUACACAGGAUUCAACUAAUAUUAGUAAAAGCAGAAAAAAAUACAACCAAGCAACAACAAAAAAUUAUGAUAGUGUAGUGUAAUUAAAUAUUAGAAACAACUUCUAUUAAAUGAGAUGCUCACAUUCAUUUUAUUUUUAUAUUCAUAGAAUCACAGAAUCCUCAAGGUUGUAAAUCCACAAGGUUGGAAAGGACCUACAAGAUCAUCUAGUCCAACAGUCCUCCCAUUACCAUUGCUACCACAAACUACUAAACCACAUCUUGUAGCUCCUCAUCCAGAUGCCUCUUGAACGCUGCCAGGGAUGGCAACUCCACCACCUCCCUGGGCAGGCCAUUCCAGUGCCUGACCACCUUCUGAGAGAAAAAGCUUUUUCUUAUGUCAAAUCUAAAUCUCCUUUGGCACAACUUGUGGCCAAUUCCUUGGGUCCUGUUUGUUGCCUGGGAGAAGAGGCCAAACCCCUCCUCAUCACAACCUCCCUUCAGGAAGUUGUAGAGUGUAAUGAAGUCUCCCCUGACCCUCCUCCUUUCCACACUAAACAAUUCCAGCUCCCUCAGCUGUUCCUCAUAAGACUUGUGCUCCAGACCUCUCACCAGUUUCAUUGCCCUUCUCUGGAUGUGUUCCAGUGCCUCAUGUCAGUCCCUCACUAUGUCUUGUAGUGAGGGGCCCAAAACUGGACACAAUACUCGAAGUGCGGACUCACCGGUGCUGAGUACAGGGGGAUGAUUAUCUCCCUGCUCCUGCUGGUCACACUAUGUCUAACGCAGGCCAGGAUGCCAUUGGCCCUCUUGGCCACCUGGGCACACUGUCUGCUUAUGUUCAAUUGAGCAUCAACCAACAACCCCAGGUCCCUUUCCUCUUCACAGUCAUCCAGCCACUCAGCCCCAGACCUAUAGCGCUGCAUGGGGUUAUUGUGGCCAAAGUGCAGGACCCAGCACUUGACCCUGUUGAACCUCAUCCCAUUCACCUCAGCCCAGCGAUCCAGCUUAUCUAGAUCCCUCUGAAGGCGCCCCCUACCCUCAGGCAGAUCAACACUACCUCCCAGCUUGGUGUCAUCUGCAUACUUACUGAGGGUACAUUCAAUCCCCUCAUCUAGGUCAUCAAUUAAGGUAUUAAAGAAGAUGGGCCCCACUACCGACCCCUGGCGGACACCACUUGUAACGUGUCACCAGCUGGACUUCAUUUACUACCCGCUGGGCACAGCCCUCCAGCCAGUUCCUUACCCAAAGAAGGGUAUACCUGUCCAGGCCACGGGUAGCCAGUUUCCCCAGGACAAUACUGUGAGAGACUGUGUCAAAGGCUUUGCUCAAGUCUAGGUAGGCUACAUCAACAGCCUUUCCCUUGUCUACCAGUCUGUCCAUCCAGUCAUAGAAGGAGGUGAUUAUGCAGGAGAAGAGGCCAAAUUCCACCUCACCACAACCUCCUUUCAGGGAAAUGAAGAGAGCAAUAAGAGUCUCCUCUUCUGCAGUCUAAGCAAUCCUAAUUCCCUCAGUGGAUCCUCAUAAGACUUGUGAUCCACUCCCCUCACCAGCUUUGAUCCCCUUCUUUGGCCUCACUUUAGGGCCUGAAUGUCUCUUGUAGUGAGGGCCCCAGAACUAAACACAAUACUUGAGGUGCAAACUCACCAGGGCUGAAUAACAGAGGGAUGAUCACCUCCCUGCUCCUGUUCCCUCAGACUCACUUGAUUUAUUAAAAACAAACAAACAAACAAAAACCUCUGUGUCUCUCUUUUGCUGAAGUAUAAAGGUAAUAAAGCUGAGCAUUUGGAAAAGCCCAAAUCUGCCAGGUUCUAAGCCCUCACUUCUUAGAAAGGCAUAAAAUCAUAGUACAGAUUGACAGCCUUUCUACAGAAAUAUUAAAUUGAACUGUAAAAAUUUGCAGUGGGUACUCAAUAUUAAUAAAUGUAGUUAUUUAUUAAUAAUUUCUUUAUAUUUAAAAAUAAUUUUAAAAAAUCAAAAGUAUGAAAUUCUAUAUUAAGCGGUGUAAGCUUUCAAGGAAAUUUCAAUAGACCAUUGUGCAGAUGUCAGUUGCAUGAAAAAUCUCAUUACAAGCAUAAGCCAAACUCUUGUAUGUAGUUAAGCUUAUGCAUGCAUUCCGGAAUAAUCUUGAAUUUAAUGUGUGUGAAGUAUUACGCCAUUACUCUCUAGCAAAUCCCUUAGAAGUUUGAAUGAAAUUGCUGGUCCCAAUGUAUAAAAAAAGGCAUUGAACAAAUUUUCAAGGAACUUUGUGCUCUGGAUUUUGUCUUCUCUCAAGAGAGUACAGUAUAGUAAAUUUCAUGAUAUUUACUAUGUGAUAUUUGGAUAGAGACUAUGUGGUCUAACUCUCCUUGCAGGAGACAGACAGUACUAGUGAAGGGAAUGUUUUCUUUGUUAACUGUGUACGCUGAUGCUGCAAGCUACAGGCAAUAUUGUUGCCUAGUGGAAGAAAAGAUGUCAGGAAGAUCCUUACAGAAAGAUACACAAUGUGCCAUAGGGAUCCAAAAACUUCAAGGUUUCAGAGGUUUCAGAUAUAUCUAAGAAGAUGGUGGGAAAUGUUUAUAUAUACAUAAAAUAUGUUUCUAUUACUUUUUUUUAGGUUUGAAACAUCAGAAGUUUUUCUACAUAUAGCCAUUCUAUUUAGUCUUUAAUAGAAGAUUUAAUAUUGAUGCAAAUCACAGACAUCAGAGUCUGUCCUGAGCCCUUGGUACAUGCAGUGGUCUGGAACUGAUGAGCGAUUCCCUCACUUACGUUAGUGGCAGAAAUGAGCAGACAGGUAUUCGCAGCUCCUGGGGAAGAAAAACUGAACUUAAGCUGUCUGACCUCCAGGAAAAAGGUUCUGUACACUCUUUUUAAGCUUUACUUAUAUUAUGUUUGCCCUCCAUUCUUCUUUCUGACCAUUUCUGUGAAAAUUAUAAUCUUUCAUUUUCUACAAGAGUUGUGAAAAGGACAAUGUGAUCUUGGUAUUCGUGGUGGGAUCGUGGUCUUUUGAUAAUAAUAAAUUGUUGCCUGUAACAGAGAAUUCUGGGUGUAAGGAUGAAGUUGGUAAAAUACUAAAGAACAUACUGACACUACCAGUGCUAGCACAUGAAAAGUAGAUCAUUUUUCCUAAGAGUUUUGUAUUUAUUUUUCAAAUGAAUCUUUCUGAGGAGCUAUUGGAUUGGUUGUUUAUAUUGCAGGAUUUCCGUUCUGACGAGUAAAAAUACGGCAUCUUCUCACGCUGAAUUUCUGUCCAUUCACUGACUGACACUGCAGUUGUGCUUAAGCAACUUCAGGUUCAGAAUAUGACCUGCAGGACAUAUUGCAAAGCCUGACUUUUUUCAAGAGGGCUGUCAUUCUACCAGUAGGUUCAGGUUCAGCAAUCAAUGCUGGUUUUCAGAUCCUUAUUAUGUGAAUGAAUUUAGUGAAGUACAAGACAUAAAAUUAUUAAAAGAACAUGCUGAACAAUCAAGCAUACCUCUGGAUCAUUUUAUAGAAUAUUGCAUGGAAAAUCUGGUCGAAUGGUCUUCCUUUCAACUGUUAAGAAAACACUAUAUUCAGGCCUAACUGAGAACUUAUUUUCUUCAAGAAGUUAAGCACUUCUCUGUCCUCCACAAAAACUGAACUUUAUCAGCAUCUCUGCCAGGUUGGAACUCUGUGUAAGAAGAGUUCAUAUGGACAAAAUAUACUGAUUUUUAGCUUAUUACUGUAAGCCUGCAUAUGUUGUAUUAUUUAUAUUUAUCUCAACUAAAGGUUAGCUCAGUUAGGUGAUAGCUCUUCUAGAAUAUCAAUUUUAAAUAAAAUAACCAAGAGGCAAACUACUGUUAGGCACUUUGCAAAUAGAAUGCCAAUGACAGCUGCUGUCCCACAGAAUAUAAAAUUUGCCUGUGAUUUGUGACAAUUUGGAGAACUGCCUGUAAAACAGCAAAAUGAAAGACCAAUUAAUAAUGACAGCACUUUUCCAGCAAAACGCAAAAGUAAUUCAACAAAAUCCUUCAAUAACUUUGACCAUAAAUAAUAAAAUUUUGACCUCCAGAUUGUCAGAACAUACACGUCUACAAAAUAUUAGUCUCUGACCACCUUAUUUCUCUGUCCACUGGAUUGCAUGGUCAACAGCACUUGGCAAAGUACCUUUCUGCUACCAGUCCAAACUUAUUUUGGAAUAGACAAGGGCUCUGACUCUGUACAACUCAAGACAACUGCUGAAUCCACAGAGGGUUCUCUUAAAAUAUGUUCAUCUUUCUCUUAGAACCAGUCACUGUUAUGAUGACAGGUGACCUGAGAAACCUGAAUUUCUGCCAGCAGAUUCCUGAGUCCCAUUAUAGAACCACACAGGUAUUUUUCAACUGAUGUAGGAUCUCUGGUAUGACCUUCUCUGAAAUGUACUGACUUUAUUGUAAGUAGUAUCUUUCUAAUACUGGCACCACCUUCAUACAUUUUAAUGAGCUGCCCUGAAAAUAAUAGACUUUUGUCAAAUGAUUCAAAAUAUCUCAGCUCUGAAAGGAAUAUUUUGCAUCAGCAUCAGUUCAUAGACUCAUAUUCCCAGCCUCUCCUCCUUUAAAUCUUGAAGGAAAAAGACAGCUUAUUCUCAUUUAAUGUGGCAAAGGAUGUGGUUUUGUUGUUGAUUUGCUUAUCCUCAACUUGUGAUUUAUUUGUAUAUUAAACUAACUCAGUCUAUUUUUAGUUAUUUAUUUCAUGCUACAACUAUGUUCUAAAUUAUUAUGCUCCCUUCUAUGGCUCCAGUCCAAAUAAGUGAAAUUGGCUAAUGAGUCAAUAUAGCUACAUGAUAGACUGAUGUAAUGUUGCAAUUUACUUAGCAGUAGUUUUCCAGAUUUCUGAGAGUUAUUGCAAAGAAUCAUUUUUAAAAGUACUACAACAACAAAAUCUUGGGUCCCAGCCGCUACUCAUAUGUUCUGACCUGUACCUCCUCAUUUAUAUGUAUGAAAACAAGGCAGCUGGUAGGCUAAACUAUUGCAAGGAGCUUUAUACUAAUGCCUGAUUAGAACGAUGGCUUGUUGAAUCCUGUCUAUUUUUCUUUUGAAAAGUAUAGUACAACUGUAAUAUCAUCACAUACAAAAAUACGAUAGGUAUUGAAAAACAGGUUGUACAGUAUUUUUAUUUUUCUCACCCAAGUCUUAGGUAGAAACGCCAUGUGGUUGUACAUAUAUAGGGAUAUAAUUUUGGCAAAGUUUUACCAUUUAUUUAUAGAUAGCCAUGUAGUAAAGUAAUCUCAGUGACUUCAUUUUAAUUCAACAUCAAUCAAACUUCACAAAAAUAGGCAUUUAUUCAGAUGGCCUAAUGAAUUGGGACUUUAAUCUUUUGUGGGUUUUGAGAUCAUACUUUAAAAAUUACCAAAUUAGUUGAGAAUGAUUUUUUACCAAAAACAACAUUAAAACAUCCUCUAUGAUACAGCAGUAGGAAUGUAUUUUUUAUUAAAUUACCUGGAUGAAAAGUUUGGUUUGUAUAAUCCCAUCUGGGAAAAAAUCAUUCAAUAAUGGAAGAGAUCCUCUGCUAGGGGAUGCAAAAGUCAUGAUAUUUUGUGCAACCUCACACAUGCUGAAGAUGCUUUUCUUUAUGGGAUAUUAAUACAACACUUAAAAUUACAAGCAUUAGACAAAGUGUUUUAGACAGCAUUUUCAGCAUCAGAAGAUUUAUCAUAUGCAUACAUAUUAACAUAAUUGUGCCUUUGUGGAGUUUAUUCACUUUUGUUCUGAAAAUAUUUUUCUAUGCUUUCACAACCUUUCUCUGAAAUAUAUAAGGAAUGUUAUGUUUUGCAAUAAAAUCCAAAGAAAAACAGUUGAAAAUUUUCCUCUGAAUAUUGUAGUGUGCCUCAGUUUUAUUGCAGUAAAUUAUAUUUAGGUAACACCACCAUUUUUUAACAGAAUACAAGGAUGCUGCCUGUUACAUUCCCACUGAGCUGAUAUAUGCAAAGAGGAUCACAAUGAUUGCUCUGGUCCUUAUGGUGGUCGGCUGAAAUAAAAAGCAGUAGAAGCAGAUUGUACAGGGAGAAAAGGAAAAGCAUCCUUAUCUGAAAGAAAGUGGCCACUGUUUCUUCUGUUUUUCCUCUGUGUUGGCAUGUGUGGAAUUGUGCCACAGAAGAUGCACUGCAGGGCCAAGUCAGGAAUUCCUCUCUUUUGCAGCCCUAAUCUCUAUUGCUUUUGCAGUGCAAUGACACAAACAUUCUGUUCCAGAUGUCCCAAAUAAAUUGAACAUUUUAAGUUCUCUGCUGGCAUAAACUAAUACAGCACCACCAAAGUCAGUAAAGCUUUCCCUAUUUACAAUGAUGAAAAAAUUAGUCCUCUCUGUAGAGAUCUAGCAGUUCAGCUACCGUGGAAGACUGAUUUCCUGUCAAUAAUAAAUGUCCUCAGUAUCCUACACAAGUCUUCAUUUUAUCGCCUCUGGACAUUUUUUAAUAGCUGCAAGUCUC
ensembl:lncRNA